rnacentral:tRNA from 1 species
GCCGCAUUGGUUUAAUGGCAGAACGCGACCUUCCCAAGGUUGAAGCGAGGGUUCGAUUCCCUUAUGCGGCUCCA